CCUGUGUUUACCGAUUCUGUUUGAUAAAGAAUUUCACAACUCGAACGGCUUCUUGUUUCCUUGGUAUUGCUGGAUUACGGUUGCGCCAAUUGUCUAAAAUUCCCCACUGCUGCCUCCCGUAGG
rnacentral:rRNA from 1 species